rnacentral:rRNA from 1 species
AGUGAACGCUGGCGGUAGGCCUAACACAUGCAAGUCGAACGGCAGCACAGUAAGAGCUUGCUCUUACGGGUGGCGAGUGGCGGACGGGUGAGGAAUACAUCGGAAUCUACUUUUUCGUGGGGGAUAACGUAGGGAAACUUACGCUAAUACCGCAUACGACCUACGGGUGAAAGCAGGGGAUCUUCGGCCCUUGCGCGAUUGAAUGAGCCGAUGUCGGAUUAGCUAGUUGGCGGGGUAAAGGCCCACCAAGGCGACGAUCCGUAGCUGGUCUGAGAGGAUGAUCAGCCACACUGGAACUGAGACACGGUCCAGACUCCUACGAGAGGCAGCAGUGGGGAAUAUUGGACAAUGGGCGCAAGCCUGAUCCAGCCAUGCCGCGUGGGUUAAGAAGGCCUUCGGGUUGUAAAGCCCUUUUGUUGGGAAAGAAAAGCAGCAGGUUAAUACCCCGCUGUUCUGACGGUACCCAAAGAAUAAGCACCGGCUAACUUCGUG